UGGCUCAGUGGUAGAGCACGUGCUUAGCAUGCAGGAGGUCCUGGGUUCCAUUCCCAG
rnacentral:tRNA from 1 species